rnacentral:pre_miRNA from 1 species
UCUUAUGGGUAAGCAAAAGAACGGGUUUCUUGAGAUAGAAUCUACUCCUAGUGAAGGCGCUGUGAA